AAUCUUGAUGUUUAUUUAAGUGGAACACAAUUUUCUUGCACAGUUAUUUUCACAACAGUAUUGUCAUUUCACCUGUACAAGUAGUUGCGUCAGAGUAAAAGAUUAUCGAAAUGCUUUGCAAAGAAUUAAUUAUCGUUUUGAUUGUUGCCAUUACAUCGCAAUGUGUAUUGGGGCAAAUGGGGGCCGGAGCAGCAGCACAAGCCACAGCAGCAGGACCAGGUUCAUUAAAUCCACAAAUGAUGAUGCUUAAAGCUAUGGCUUCUCGUAAUAUGGCCUCACAAAGACGUCGACCACAAAUGAAUCCAUUAAUGAAAAUGAUGUUUAUGAGACAACUUAUGGCAGGUGAAAUGGAAGGACCAAUGCUGUUCAUGAUGAUGAGAAGUCUAAUGGCACAGUAAAGUGUGGCAUCAAUGACUUGUAAUGGAAAUGUUCGGUCUAUUUGCAUUUUCCCGUUAUUCGUUAUCUUUAAUAUUUAUUCAUUGUUCAUUAAAACAAAAUCAUCUAACAAGAGAACUAGGCCGAGUUGUUUAAGGACGGUUUCAGUUGUUCAAAGCUGAUUUCAACGGCAUGUGGUCUGAUAAUUAAACGAAGCGAUCCAUUACUACGAUGGACUUGAUUGUAUCUGACUUUGUUUAGUAAUUAAUCUUGAAUUACAUGUAAUUCAAAUCUAACAUAUAGUUUCUCGUCCUUAACAAUAUUCUUUAUAUUGAAAAAAUCUAAUUUAAAUAAUUCAUAAAUUAUGACAAAAUCUAUAGAGUGUUGGCCAUUCUAACAUGUCUAAGCUCAGGAAUAUUUCAGUGGAUUUUUUUCGCCUUAGUUUUCGGCGUAUCUGGUUGUUUAUUAUGGUACUUAAAAGCCGUGUUGAAAACACAACGGAUUCUGUACGGUUUCCAACAUUUAUACACAAUGCACUGGGAAUUUUUUAACUAUUAAAACUUUUAAACGCACAUACAAAAUUUCACGAAAACUUAACACUAUACAUAUAUUUAUUUUAAAACGAUGAAUUAAUGUACUUUGAUUUUGCUUUGGAUUUCGGUUUUACUACAUAUGUUGCUUUCGAGAUGUUUUUAAGAAAUAACAAGUAAAGAAGCUAACAAAUGAGAAGUUUCUAUUGUAUAAUGAAAUAAGAAUGGUGUAUUUUAGGACUUUGCCUAUUUGUUUGAAAUAGGACAAAUCACUUUUUGUGUCACUUUAUAUCAUAUGAUGUUUAGUGUUGACAUGUACAUGUUCUUGUGCAAUAUUAAAUUCGUUUAAUCUU